rnacentral:rRNA from 1 species
AGUCAAUAGAUACCCGGGUAGUCCAUGCCGUAAACGAUGAUUGCUAGGUGUGGGGGGUCUGACCCCUUCCGUGCCGGAGUUAAACACAAAUAAGCAAUCCACCUGGGGAGUACGGCCGCAAGGUUGAAACUCAAAGGAAUUGACGGGGGCCCGCACAAGCAGUGGAGUAUGUGGUUUAAUUCGAAGCAACGCGAAGAACCUUACCAGGUCUUGACAUCCACCGAAUCCUGUAGAGAUACGGGAGUGCCCUUCGGGGAACGGUGAGACAGGUGGUGCAUGGUUGUCGUCAGCUCGUGUCGUGAGAUGUUGGGUUAAGUCCCGCAACGAGCGCAACCCUUGUGAAUAGUUGCUACGAAAGAGCACUCUAUUCAGACCGCCGUUGACAAAACGGAGGAAGGUGGGGAUGACGUCAAAUCAUCAUGCCCCUUAUGACCUGGGCUACACACGUACUACAAUGGUCGUCAACAGAGGGAAGCAAGACCGCGAGGUGGAGCGAACCCCUAAAAACCGAUCUCAGUUCAGAUUGCAGGCUGAAACUCG